rnacentral:misc_RNA from 1 species
GAUGAGAACGUAGCGAAAUGCGAUAAGUAAUGUGAAUUGCAGAAUUCAGUGAAUCAUCGAAUCUUUGAACGCACAUUGCGCCCGCCAGUAUUCUGGCGGGCAUGCCUGUUCGAGCGUCAUUUCAACCAUCAAGCCCCAGGCUUGUGUUGGGGACCUGCGGCUGCCGCAGGCCCUGAAAACCAGUGGCGGGCUCGCUGUCACACCGGGCGUAGUAGAUUUUAUCUCGCUCUGGGCGUGCUGCGGGUUCCGGCCGUUAAAAAACCCUUUUAACCCAAGGUUGACCUCGGAUCAGGUAGGAAUACCCGCUGAACUUAAGCAUAUCAAUAAGCGGAGGA